rnacentral:lncRNA from 1 species
GUCUGUUUCUACUUGAAUGAAGAAAGACGCGGGGAAGGCUCACCAGCCCAGCUCAUCUACUGCCUGGUAGCAAACAAGUCCUCUGCUGCCACUACCCAGGACAGUCUUGCCCGCUCUGCCCCCGUCCGGGUUCCACACCCUUCCCUGCCUCACCCUGCCUCCUGUGCCCACCUCGCCUCUGGACCCAGAGAUUCUUCUUGUUUGCUCUGUCCUCCCUCCAGCAGGAUAUGGGGUGAAUAGUUAACUACACUCGGGUUGAAUGAGAUCUUGAUUUUUUUACUUCUGUUCCCCGGAAAGAGGUCAGUCUCUGUGCAUGGCACCCGGCCUGGAAGCAGCACAAUACUCCAGAGUGAUCCAAGAUCCGCCCGGAUGGUCCUGUGGGCCCUUGGAGGUCAGCGCUGAGGAGCAGCCAGCGCUGGAUCACACGAAGGUGUGCGUCUGCAUAGGCAGAGGUGAGCCCACUGCCCGGUCCAUCUUCUGUUGACACAAAGGCAAGGAGCUGUGAAGACUCCCUUCCGAGGUUGCAGUAGGAGAUUAACGUAUCCAGAGGCUUCAUGACCGAGCAGCUAAUUCUGUUGGUGGUUCCUCUUUCCUCUACUCUGUGAUGAUGACACACACACUCCAGUCAGGAACUGGAGCCUUCUCAAUUCCAUCGUCUAUGGCCCCCCACUUUCGUAGUUGGAAAUCCUUCCUGAUCAUCCCUUGAUUCCCCCUUCUUGACUACACUCAAAGAUGUUUGAGCUCUUCUGUUUGCAAAAUGGAUGGACAGUUUGUUUACAUAAAACAAUCCAAGCUUCCUCGUGCUGUAUCUGGUGUAUUUGUACGGCUCUUCGGUGACUUUAAUAUGGAGUGUUGACUUUGGCCUCUUAGAUUCUCCAUGGUGGAACCGAGAAUGCCUCUUGAAGAUUUUCAGUGCCGCUGAAAUGUUAAGAAGGCUUGCAGACAUCCCCUUCCUCCCUCUUCCCCCACCUCCUUCUUUCCUAAGCAGCUUCUGUUGUAUAAAUCCCUUCAUUUAAACCCCUCUGUGGAUGUUGUCGUUUCUAAAGUGACAGUGGAUAAGAUGACAGGAGUGGAUGGAGGGGCUGCCCAGGUGGCCUGCUAUGAAGUCCGGUACUUAGACUCAGCAGCCAUAGAGAUAGCAGGGACCGUAGGAUCCAGACCAUCGGGCCCCAGAAAUAUCAUCAGAAACAAUGUUUCUAAUGCCCACAUUCCACGCUCUGUAGAGCCGGGGAAACCCAGUCAUCCCGGCUGCUCAGGACAAGGGAUUUCUCAAGACAAAAGAUUUUGUGGGGGCUGAACCUGCUGCAGACUGGAGAAAACUGUCAUAAUUGGUCAUCCUAGUAAGUGAAGCUGUGAUCAUAUCUCUCUCGCUGCUACAGCAAGAGGAAGCUCCUAGAUAACUUUGCCGUUCUCCAUUCAGAGCCGUGCGUCUGGUCUCUGAUCGGCCACAGGACAGCCUCCAGGUAGACAGGACUAUCUGCCCCGUCCUGACCAAAUCUAUUAUUUGUAAGAUGGUAGGGUUGUCAUGUUUUGAAAACAGUGUUAGGCGUGAUGGGCCAGUUAAGACUAUGUCCUUGUGGCAGAAAUGCAAAUGAACGGACAUUGCUCUAUGACAGCCCUAUCUAUGUAGGUGACACUUACCUCUUAUUAAAAAUGAAGUUGUCCUUG